AACGAACGCUGGCGGCAUGCCUAACACAUGCAAGUCGAACGAGACCUUCGGGUCUAGUGGCGCACGGGUGCGUAACGCGUGGGAACCUGCCCUUAGGUUCGGAAUAACUCCCCGAAAGGGGUGCUAAUACGGGAUCAUGUCUUCGGACCAAAGAUUUAUCGCCUUUGGAUGGGCCCGCGUUGGAUUAGCUAGUUGGUAGGGUAAAAGCCUACCAAGGCGACGAUCCAUAGCUGGUCUGAGAGGAUGAUCAGCCACACUGGGACUGAGACACGGCCCAGACUCCUACGGGAGGCAGCAGUGGGGAAUAUUGGACAAUGGGCGAAAGCCUGAUCCAGCAAUGACGCGUGAGUGAUGAAGGCCUUAGGGUUGUAAAGCUCUUUUACCCGGGAUGAUAAUGACAGUACCGGGAGAAUAAGCGCCGGCUAACUCCGUG
rnacentral:rRNA from 1 species